GGGGCUGCCCGGAUUUGACAGCGAGUGAAAUUGGUAUGUAAGCAUGUCGAGGGUCGGAGAUCAGCCUCGUAAAACACGGUUUUCAACUGCCUAACUGGCAACAACAAUUACGCGUUAGCCGCUUAAUCAGAAGAUUAACCCGCUGACUACCUUUUGAGGACCUGUUCACCCGUUCUCUUGAUUAAGGUAUCGUAUGGUGAAUGCUCUCCGAUGAUGUUUCCUGCAUCGGGUCUAAGAUUCAAGGAAAAUACGCGGUGUAAUAGCGAGUGUUUAGCAGUUACAUUGCCGACAAUCAAUAAACACUAAACAUGUAGAAAGCUUAUUGAUUGCUUGUCUGGACGAGGGUUCAACUCCCUCCAGCUCCACUU
rnacentral:tmRNA from 1 species